rnacentral:rRNA from 1 species
AACAAACGCUGGCGGCGUGUCUUAAGCAUGCAAGUUGAGCGGCAAGGAGGAGAGAUCCUCCCUAGAGCAGCGGACUGGUGAGUAACGCGUGGGUAAUCUAUCUUAGGCAUGGGGGAUAGUCACUAGAAAUAGUGGGUAAUACCGAAUAAGUUCCAUAAGGGGAGGACUUAUGGAAGAAAGGUGCUACGGCACUGGCCUUAGGUGAGCUCGCGUCCCAUUAGCUAGUUGGUGAGGUAAAGGCCCACCAAGGCGAUGAUGGGUAGCCGGCCUGAGAGGGUGUACGGCCACACUGGGACUGAGAUACGGCCCAGACUCCUACGGGAGGCAGCAGCUAAGAAUAUUCCGCAAUGGACGGAAGUCUGACGGAGCGACGCCGCGUGGAUGAAGAAGGCCGAAAGGUUGUAAAGUUCUUUUGCUAGGGGAGAAUAAGUGUGGGAGGGAAUGCCUGCACGAUGACAUGAAUCGAUGAAUAAGCCCCGGCUAACUACGUG